rnacentral:rRNA from 1 species
UAUAGAUGGAUCCGCGCUGCAUUAGCUAGUUGGUAAGGUAACGGCUUACCAAGGCAACGAUGCAUAGCCGACCUGAGAGGGUGAUCGGCCACACUGGAACUGAGACACGGUCCAGACUCCUACGGGAGGCAGCAGUAGGGAAUCUUCCGCAAUGGGCGAAAGCCUGACGGAGCAACGCCGCGUGAGUGAUGAAGGUCUUCGGAUCGUAAAACUCUGUUAUUAGGGAAGAACAUAUGUGUAAGUAACUGUGCACAUCUUGACGGUACCUAAUCAGAAAGCCACGGCUAACUACGUGCCAGCAGCCGCGGUAAUACGUAGGUGGCAAGCGUUAUCCGGAAUUAUUGGGCGUAAAGCGCGCGUAGGCGGUUUUUUAAGUCUGAUGUGAAAGCCCACGGCUCAACCGUGGAGGGUCAUUGGAAACUGGAAAACUUGAGUGCAGAAGAGGAAAGUGGAAUUCCAUGUGUAGCGGUGAAAUGCGCAGAGAUAUGGAGGAACACCAGUGGCGAAGGCGACUUUCUGGUCUGUAACUGACGCUGAUGUGCGAAAGCGUGGGGAUCAAACAGGAUUAGAUACCCUGGUAGUCCACGCCGUAAACGAUGAGU